AAAUGGUGAAAAUAUUAAGAGAACCGCCUUCACACGGCGGGGGCCACAGGUUCAAGUCCUGUACUGCCCACCA
rnacentral:tRNA from 1 species